GGCGCGUAGCUCAGAUGGUUAGAGCGCACGCCUGAUAAGCGUGAGGUCGGUGGUUCGAUUCCAUUCGUGCCCA
rnacentral:tRNA from 1 species